rnacentral:lncRNA from 1 species
GAGACAGGGCCUCUCUCCGUUGCCCAGGCUGGAGUGCAAUGGCACAAUCACAGCUCACUGCAGCCUCAGUCUCCUGGGUUCAAGCAAUCCUCCUACCUCAACCUCCCAAGUAGCUGGGACUGCAGGCUUGUGCCACAGCCUCUUUAAUUAAAAAAAAAAAGAGAGAAAGAAAAAGCAAACAAGGGCUGUUCUUUCCUAUGCUUUUGGUUUUUCUGAAGUAUAUUAGUUUGCAAUUUCAGCCUUCUUGCUCACCUUGAAUCCUCCACCCCUCUGCAUGUUGUACCUGUUCUCAGCUGUAUUAGGAGUCAGUAUAAUAGGAUUAUUUCCGGUUGCCUUGGUUUUCCUUUCAGCUGGGCACCAAAUUAAGUAUCUCAGUAAAAUAACCCAUCUCCUAGCACCCACCCAAAAAAUUGGGAGUUACUUUUCCUUGGCCCGUGAGGUCUCUGGAUACCAGCUUCUACACAUAAGCAGCAAUAGCAGUAGUAGUUCAGCUUUAUAUACAAAGUUAUCUGAGAUUCUCAGCAGGAGCUGGCAUGCACACAUAGCAAAAGUGUCCACUUUUUAAAAAUAUAUUCACUGGCCGGGCGCAGUGGCUCACGCCUAUAAUCCCAGCAAUUUGGGAGGCCGAGGUGGGCGGAUCACUUAAGGUCAGGUGUUCAAGACCAGUCUGGCCAACAUGGUGAAACCCCAUCUCUACUAAAAAUACAAAAAUUACCUGGGCAUGGUGGCGGAUGCCUGUAGUCCCAGCUACAUGGAGGCUGAGGCAGGAGAAAUGCUUGAACCCAGGAGGGGGAGGUUGCGGUGAGCCAAGAUUGUGCCACUGCACUCCAGCCUGGGUGACAGAGCAAAACUCCAUCUCAAAAAGAAAAAAAAGAAUGCACACAAACACACACAAGUUCCCCCCAAAGGAAAAAGGUACUUUGUAUUGUGAUAAAUAUAUUGACUCAUUUAAGCUCUCCCAAAUAAAUACAAGGUGAACGUUUAAGAUGCUAUGAGUAGGUGGCACAGUUGUGGAAAGAGAGGGGCUUUGGAGUCUGGGAAGCAUGGAGACAAGUCCUCCUUACCCAUCUGGGUGGCCCUAAGCAAGUAUCUUUCAGAGCCUCGAGGUCAUCUUUAAAUGUGGAUAAUGAUCCCCCUGGCACGGUGAUGAUGAAAUAACAUAUAUAAACCACCUGGCACAGAGACUGUUCAAUAAAUAGCAGAUCCUUUUUUUUUUCUCGCCUAGAGUUCAGUGGCAAGAUCACGGCUCACUGCAACCUCAGCCUCCCGGAGUUCAAGGAGUCCUCCCACCUCAGCCUUCUGAGUAGCUGGGACUACAGGCAUGCGCACCACCACGCCUGGCUAAUUUUUGUAUUUUUUGGUAGAGACAGGGUUUUGCCAUGUUGCCCAGGCUGGUCUCAAACUCCUAGGCUUAAGCAAUCUGCCCACCUCGGCCUCCCGAAGUGCUGGGAUUAUAGGUGUGAGCCACCGUGCCCAGCAUAGCAGUUAUUAUACUUUCCAUGAUGAAUGGAGUAAUCUUUCCAGCAGUAAUCUUUGGGGUGGGAAGGGGUACUUGCACACACACACACACACACCCCAUCCCAGAGAUUGUGAGGCAUGCUCCCUAGUCCCCCUGGGAGUGACUGCCUUGGAAAAAAUUGUUCCUGAAGGGCAGGAUGGAGGGUCACAAUCCCUCAUCCUUUUCCACCAUGAGGUGGAAAAAUGGUCAAGAGUCUCUGCCUUAAAAAUGGAGCUUAGGAGAUAAAACCCACCAUCUAGGGGCCAUUAUCACCAUGUUACCUACUGAAAUGAGUUGACCACAGGACCAACCUCAAAUAAGAACAAAUAACAAAAAUGAUCUGUUUGCAAGUAUUACAGACCUGUACCAGAAAAGAAGUACCUUCCAAUUUCUAGCACUCAAAAUAUGAAAGAAACAUUUAGGAAAACAUUUAGAGAAGAAACAUUUAGUACUCAAAACAUGCUCAAUGUUUGCCAAAUGGCCCCAGGAUACUUUGACAGACCACAUGCUUUGAGUUUUGUCAGUACUCCUGGAAAUCUGUGAUAGAAUCUUAAUGUGCACCAUGCAAAGUUUAAUAUCACAUUUCUGUUGAAUAAUCACUGUGAGGCCGGGUGCGGUGGCUCAUGCCUGUAAUCCCAGCACUUCAGGAGGCUGAGGUGGGUGGAUCUCUUGAGGUCAAGAGUUUGAGACCAGCCUGACCAAUAUGGUGAAAACCCGUCUCUACUAAAAAUACAAAUUUAGCCAGGUGUGGUGGCGCAUGCCUGUAAUCCCAGCUACUCGGGAGGCUGAGACAGGAGAAUCGCUUGAACCCUAGAGGCAGAGGUUGAAGUGAGCCGAGAUCGCACCUUUACACUUCAGCCUGGGCAACAAGAGUGAAAUGCUGUCUCAAAAAAAAAAUUAAUUAAAAAAAAAUUAAACAUGCUCUUUGAGGAUCCCCCAAGGUGUGGAUCUGGGAAAUGAACCAUAGAAUAGAAAGGAGCAAAAACACAGAUUAAGGGAACCUGAUACGUUGGGAUACAGGAGCCAAGACCUUUGUCAUUCAGUAUGUGAAAAUGUCAGGAUGUGCAAGUGAGAAACAACUUAAAACCUUAAAAUCAGAAGAUCACUCCCCACUGACACUGCAGAUUAAAAGAUACUAAUCACUGGCCGGGCGCGGUGGCUCACGCCUGUAAUCCCAGCACUUUAGGAGGCCGAGGCGGGUGGAUCACGAGGUCAGGAGAUCGAGACCAUCCUGGUUAACACAGGGAAACCCCGUCUCUAC